rnacentral:rRNA from 1 species
GACGAACGCUGGCGGCGUGCUUAACACAUGCAAGUCGAACGGAAAGGCCCUGCUUUUGUGGGGUGCUCGAGUGGCGAACGGGUGAGUAACACGUGAGUAACCUGCCCUUGACUUUGGGAUAACUUCAGGAAACUGGGGCUAAUACCGGAUAGGAGCUCCUGCUGCAUGGUGGGGGCUGGAAAGUUUCGGCGGUUGGGGAUGGACUCGCGGCUUAUCAGCUUGUUGGUGGGGUAGUGGCUUACCAAGGCUUUGACGGGUAGCCGGCCUGAGAGGGUGACCGGCCACAUUGGGACUGAGAUACGGCCCAGACUCCUACGGGAGGCAGCAGUGGGGAAUAUUGCACAAUGGGCGGAAGCCUGAUGCAGCAACGCCGCGUGCGGGAUGACGGCCUACGGGUUGUAAACCGCUUUCGCCUGUGACGAAGCGUGGGUGACGGUAAUGGGUAAAGAAGCACCGGCUAACUACGUG